rnacentral:lncRNA from 1 species
GAGGAAAUAGCACAGUGGCUCCAUAUGUAUUGCAUGACUGCUAUGGACAAGGGACCGGGCUUGAUGCUGCUGAGUCAGACAGGGCCCUCCCUCAAGUGGCUCUCAGGCUACGAUGGAAGGAGGGCAGGGCUCUGAACAUUGUGAUUCAAGGGCGAAAGAAAGAAGGGUCAGGAGAAGUGCAAGGCAGGGACGAGUCCUGAGAAAGGAAUGGUCAGUGUGCUCUUUUGGAUACGAUCUGGAAGCAGGCGUGCAAAGGCACCUCUGUGACCUGAAGGAGGGAGGACGGGGCUGCUGCUGGGGUAGAGAUGGGAGGAGGACGAUGGGCACAAGGAGGCAGGGAGAAGAUUCUCUUAGGUUAGAGGCACCGUGAAAAGAGAUAUCUCAAAGCCAGAUACAAGGAGAGCAAGACCUCACCCCUGCCGACCCCUCAGAGCUGCGGCCUCCCCUUGACCUUGAACCCCUUCCUUUGCAACUUCACCUGCAAUCUCAGAGCUCCCAGGCUCUGUCUUAGCAGGAGCCCACCUCUGUCUGUCUUCUUCCUUUUCCCCUCUCUCCUCUCCUUCCCUAGCAGCCAGGUCUCUGCACAGGAAGGACUAAUGUAGUAAAAUGACCAAAAUGACUAAAUUAGUAAUGACCUAGCCAAUUUGCUGCUUAGAGGUCUAUCUCGAAGAGCGGCACUCUGUCCCUCCACUGCAGGUAGACAGGAAGACGUGUAAGGACUUGGAACGAAGGAUGUCAGGAACCGAUCACCAGCAACCAAAGGAGAAUGGUGAGAAGGAGGAACCAGGGCUGGCGCUGACCACACCGAGUGGAUGGGAAGUGGGACAGGCUUGUGCCCUGUGGUGCCGAUGAUAAGUCAGCUUCCUACAUGAUACCACUGUGUUUCAGUGAGAGACGAAUUACACAAACAAAAUGUUCUUCACAGAUGGAUGAGAUGCCUGAGGAUGAUAUCUGGGUAGGACACCUGACUUCAAGGGCUAGUAAGAAGUUCAAAGAAGAAGGGGGCCAAAUGCAUCCAAGAAGGUGGCUGCCCUGGAUCAACAUGCACAGCUCUGUAAAAAUGCACACAAAAAUGGCACCCUGCUCCUCAUGGAGGGCGGACCCCAGAAGUGCCCAAUAUAUGAAUAGUAUAAAUCCCAACUCCAGGCAAAAUGGACCCCUUGACCUGUUUUAAUGGUCUAAUAAGCAGAUCUUCCUUGAGAAGGGCCUCUUGACGUGGAGAAAGGGAAAUCGUCUUGCACUGUUGGUGGGAAUGUGAACUGGUACAGCCACUCUGGAAAACUGCGUGGAGUUUAAAACUUUGAGUUAUUUUUAAUUCAAAGAGUUAAAAAUAAAGCUAACCUACAACCCA